ACGAACGCUGGCGGCAUGCCUAACACAUGCAAGUCGAACGAGACCUUCGGGUCUAGUGGCGCACGGGUGCGUAACGCGUGGGAACCUGCCCUUAGGUUCGGAAUAACUCCCCGAAAGGGGUGCUAAUACCGGAUAAUGUCUUCGGACCAAAGAUUUAUCGCCUUUGGAUGGGCCCGCGUUGGAUUAGCUAGUUGGUAGGGUAAAAGCCUACCAAGGCGACGAUCCAUAGCUGGUCUGAGAGGAUGAACAGCCACACUGGGACUGAGACACGGCCCAGACUCCUACGGGAGGCAGCAGUGGGGAAUAUUGGACAAUGGGCGGAAGCCUGAUCCAGCAAUGCCGCGUGAGUGAUGAAGGCCUUAGGGUUGUAAAGCUCUUUUACCCGGGAUGAUAAUGACAGUACCGGGAGAAUAAGCUCCGGCUAACUCCGUG
rnacentral:rRNA from 1 species